UUUGAAAAUUUUGGGUAC
rnacentral:siRNA from 1 species